GCAUCUGUGGCCGAGUGGUUAGGCACCGGACUCAUAAUCCGUUAUACGCUGGUUCAAGUCCAGUCAGAUGUA
rnacentral:tRNA from 1 species